rnacentral:rRNA from 1 species
GACGAACGCUGGCGGCGUGCUUAACACAUGCAAGUCGAACGGAAAGGCCCUGCUUUUGUGGGGUGCUCGAGUGGCGAACGGGUGAGUAACACGUGAGUAACCUGCCCUUGACUUUGGGAUAACUUCAGGAAACUGGGGCUAAUACCGGAUAGGAGCUCCUGCUGCAUGGUGGGGGUUGGAAAGUUUCGGCGGUUGGGGAUGGACUCGCGGCUGAUCAGCUUGUUGGUGGGGUAGUGGCUUACCAAGGCUUUGACGGGUAGCCGGCCUGAGAGGGUGACCGGCCACAUUGGGACGGAGAUACGGCCCGGACUCCUACGGGAGGCAGCAGUGGGGAAUAUUGCACAAUGGGCGGAAGCCUAAUGCAGCAACGCCGCGUGCGGGAUGACGGCCUUCGGGUUGUAAACCGCUUUCGCCUGUGACGAAGCGUGAGUGACGGUAAUGGGUAAAGAAGCACCGGCUAACUACGUG